AAUGAACGUUGGCGGCGUGGAUUAGGCAUGCAAGUCGCGCGAUUUCCUUCGGGGAAGAGCGGCGGAAGGGAGAGUAACGCGUAGAUACCUACCCUCGGGACUGGAAUAGCGACGGGAAACUGUCGGUAAUGCCAGAUAACGUCCCUGGACCAAAGGUGUGAAUCCGCCUGAGGAGGGGUCUGCGUCCUAUUAGCUAGUUGGCGGGGUAACGGCCCACCAAGGCGAAGAUGGGUACCGGGCGUGAGAGCGUGACCCGGCUCACUGGGACUGAGACACUGCCCAGACACCUACGGGUGGCUGCAGUCGGGAAUCUUCGGCAAUGAGCGCAAGCUUGACCGAGCGACGCCGCGUGCGGGAUGAAGGCUUUCGGGUUGUAAACCGCUGUCAGUGGGGAGGAAAUUCUUGGGGGUACUCCCCCUUGAUUGACCGAUCCGCAGAGGAAGGACGGGCUAAGUUCGUGCCAGCCGCCGCGGUAAAAC
rnacentral:rRNA from 1 species